rnacentral:rRNA from 1 species
GACGAACGCUGGCGGCGUGCCUAAUACAUGCAAGUAGAACGCAGUUGAGAACGGGUGAGUAACGCGUCGUUAACUUCCUCAUAGCGGGUGAUAACCAUUGGAAACGAUAGCUAAUACCUCAUACUUUGAGAUUGACCUGCGUUGUAUUGGCUAGUUUGUGAGGUAAAUGAUCACCAAGGCGACGAUACAUAGACGACCUGAGAGGGUGAUCGGCCACACUGGGACUGGGACACGGCACAGACUCCUACGGGAGGCAGCAGUAGGGAAUCUUCGGAAAUGGACGGAAGUCUGACCGAGCAACGCAGCGUGAGUGAAGAAGGGUUUCGGAUCGUAAAGCUCUGUUGUUAGAGAAGCGGUAACUUACCAGUAAGGGACGGAUAACUACGUGCCAGCAGGCGCGGUAAUAC